GUCAUGGGCCAAAUUACUAGUUAUUGAGUGCUGUAGGCUACACAUGCUUGUAAAUAAAUCGUUCAUCUUUGUUGGCCUCGAUGCUGAGUGGCUGAGCUAAAUUCAUCAUCUCAUUUGCUGUUUGUGUCACCCAGUCUGGCUAAAUGAGAGCACUGCGGGCAGCAGUUCGGGCCUUCACUGUGUGACCUUGGGCCGCUCAUCUUUAACUGGAGGUCAUUGGCACCUGCCUCAUGGCCAUAUUGGGCAGAUCAGUGAGAACUAGCUUUGAAAGUGUGGCUCUGCAUGGGAGCAUCUGAUCCGGAGGAGCUGAGCAUGAUGGGCCAUGGGGAGGGAGAGAAACAGCUUAUCAGGUGGAAUCAGCCGUUCAGGUUUCUGACCGUGACCAUCAAUUUCUUGGAUAAAAUCUUGGGUAGUCCUCAUUAGGAAAUCUUACUUGGGUGUUAAUGAUACAGAAAUCCUCUGCAAAAAUGCACAAAAGCACGUAUUUGAAUUUUUAUUUUUUAAAUUUAGUCCAACUUUCAGCCCAGUUAAAAAACCCUAGAACUAGCUCACUUCUUCAAGUUAACUGGGCUUACCACAAAUCAAUCUUUGUUUCCUUCACUGUAGCAGAAACACCCAGGACAGGGGUUGGGGAUAUAGCUCAGUGGCAUAAGCGCCUGCCUGGCAAGCGCAAGGUCAUGAGUUUGAUCCCUGGUACCGCAAAAAAAAAAAGAAAAAAGAAACACCCAGGAAUUUGUCCUGUUCCUCAGUGCUUUUCUACUGUUAGUUUUUACUACCUGUGUUUUUUAUUGUUAUGUAGUAUUUAAAGCAAAACUUCACAUCUGGAUUAUGGACUGUCCACUGACUUCCAAAGUCAAGGAGCAACAGGUAGGCCAAGGUACUAUGGGCCUCAGAGCUUGUGCACAGAUGAAGUAGGAGGACCAGUUUAAAACAUUAGUUUUAAAGGGGGAAAAAUAUGUCCACUGCCAUUAUUUUCACAAAUCCUCACUAUGGAAAAAUGUAACAGAAAAGAAGGGCCCCAAACUGUUAAUGGAAAGUUUUAUAUGCAUAGACAAGAGUAAAUGUUUGUGUGUAACAUUUUACACUGAAUGGGAACAUGGUUUUUGUAACAAGGUUAUGUGAUUGUGGUGUAUAAAAGUUAUUCAGUGGCAAUGUAUAUAAAUUCUAAUGUCUACAAAAACAUUUGCCUUAUUCUCCGGCUCCUAUGCAGCAUCUGUCACUAGGAGAAGAGGAACCUCACGCCCUUGAUCUUCGUUUCAGGGAAAAGUUUAUGAAGAUGUGGCUUGAGUCAUUGAAGGAAUGAGUCAUCCAUCUUCAGAAGGAAAGUUUUUAAAAAUUAUGAGUCAGCAAAGAGACUACAAACAGGAAGAAAAGAUUUUAAUCCAUCGGUCUUCCUGCUCCACAUAUGGCAAAAUGUCAAAGCUUGGGUGAGUUUCCCUUCCAGAAGAUUUUUUUUUGCCAGGAGAAAAAGGGUUAAAAAGAGAAUAAAGAAAACUAUCUUACCACGUGAAGAUCACAAUGCAUUAUGGAUCUGCAUACCAAAUUAUGUAUAUCUGCAUUAGAGCUGUUGCAGAAGGAUUUAAACUAAAUUUAUACUGUAAAAUGGAGCCUCAGCCAAAGGAAGAGAUAAGACUUCCAAGGACAUUAGAUCCAGCUUGAUCUGGCCUGAGAAGUGGAAGCCGAGCCCUGGAGACGGAGGCAGCAGCAGGGAGCUCAUGUGCUCCUCAGCACUCCUAAGAAGGGGAACUUGCUCUUCUAUGCAGACCCCACUUACAUCUGCUGAGCAGGCCACUGUGGCCUUACUUCACUGCUUACUACUAGAAAGUCAUUUAGCAUCUUGGACCCAGAGAUGGGAGUCGUGGUGGUCCCGACUGAAUGAAACGCAGCGGAUAAGCCAUUAGGGAACCAUUUCCCCUGAAGCCAGAAACUUCAACAUGUGUCAUUUUUCAGGCACAGUGUAGAUUGGGAAAAAUAAUUAGUUUUGACUUGUACGGAAAUAUUUUCCCCAUUUCCAUGACAAGAACAUUAUUAAUUUCCACUGAGCUAGAGAAAAUUCCUAAGUAUUAGGGCCAAUCUUUCGUUCUGGUGGAAUCCUUAUCAUUGGACAAAUACCAGUUUUCCCGCAAAUGACUUUAGGAAAGUCUGUACCAUAGAAUCUUUGGUAAAUUAGCGAUUUGUUGUCAAGAUGAGUUUUGUUUUUUUGUUUGUUUUUUCGGUUGGUUGGUUUUUCAAGAUAGGGCCUUGUUGUGUAGUUCAGGCUAGACGAGCUCACCAUGUAGCCCAGGUUGACCUCGUGGCGAUCCUUCUGCCUCAGCUUCCCAAGUGCUGGAAUUACAGGUCUGUGCCACCGUGUCAGGCUUCUCUGUUUUCUUACAUACAGGAGAUAGACUAUAGUUAAAUUUUUUUUCCACUAGACAAAAACUUACAAGCUAUAAAAUCACUCUCUUAGUUACACUGGUGGGCAUGGGUUUUUUGGCUAGUCAGCACCCAUUUGUAACAAUGCCCCCAACGCCCCUUUCCCUGACUGAUUUCAGUGAGAGAGUAUCCUGGUGACCCCUCACACUGUGGAAGCCAAGGGGCUGAGCUGUGCUGCCCACUGGCCAGAUGUGAGUCCGGACCACUUGAAAUGGAACCAUGUAACUAAGUAUGGAACUAUGUUUUAAUUUAAUUAACAUACAAAUUAACAUGUUCAGUUUAGAUUUCUGAAAACUUCUAAGAAUGUUUGGAACAAUUUGGUAUGUGAAGCUACUGUUUUAACUGUAAAUUUUACAAAAUCUACAUGGCUGAUUUUCUGCCAAUCAAGUAUUUCCAUUAAAUAUUAGCAUCCAAAUGGAGAUGUGCUGUAUCUGUAAAAUAUACUGAAUUUGGAGGAAAAAGGUGUAAAAUGUGUUAUGAUAAAUUUUGUAUGGCCUGUAUGUUGAAAUAUCUGGACAUACUGGGUUAAAUAAAAUGUAUGUAUAUUAAAAUUAA